AUCGAACGCUGGCGGCAGGCCUAACACAUGCAAGUCGAGCGGAUGAAGGGAGCUUGCUCCUGGAUUCAGCGGCGGACGGGUGAGUAAUUCCUAGGAAUCUGCCUGGUAGUGGGGGAUAACGUCCGGAAACGGGCGCUAAUACCGCAUACGUCCUGAGGGAGAAAGUGGGGGAUCUUCGGACCUCACGCUAUCAGAUGAGCCUAGGUCGGAUUAGCUAGUUGGUGGGGUAAAGGCCUACCAAGGCGACGAUCCGUAACUGGUCUGAGAGGAUGAUCAGUCAAACGGGAACUGAGAAACGGUCCAGACUCCUACGGGAGGCAGCAGUGGGGAAUAUUGGAAAAUGGGCGAAAGAAUGAUCAAGCAAUGCCGCGUGUGUGAAGAAGGUAUUCGGAUUGUAAAGCACUUUAAGUUGGGAGGAAGGGCAGUAAGUUAAUACCUUGAUGUUUUGACGUUACCAACAGAAUAAGCACCGGCUAACUUCGUG
rnacentral:rRNA from 1 species